rnacentral:rRNA from 1 species
UAGGGAAUCUUCGGCAAUGGACGAAAGUCUGACCGAGCAACGCCGCGUGAGUGAAGAAGGUUUUCGGAUCGUAAAACUCUGUUGUUAGAGAAGAACAAGGACGUUAGUAACUGAACGUCCCCUGACGGUAUCUAACCAGAAAGCCACGGCUAACUACGUGCCAGCAGCCGCGGUAAUACGUAGGUGGCAAGCGUUGUCCGGAUUUAUUGGGCGUAAAGCGAGCGCAGGCGGUUUCUUAAGUCUGAUGUGAAAGCCCCCGGCUCAACCGGGGAGGGUCAUUGGGAAGUGGGGGACUUGAGUGCAGAAGAGGAGAGUGGAAUUCCAUGUGUAGCGGUGAAAUGCGUAGAUAUAUGGAGGAACACCAGUAGCGAAGGCGGCUCUCUUGUCUGUAACUGACGCUGAGGCUCGAAAGCGUGGGGAGCAAACAGG